rfam:Oryza glumipatula chromosome 7, whole genome shotgun sequence.
AACAAGUGCAGUUUUGCACUAUUCAUGUCCAACGAUUGACUGUUUGUCUUAUUUGAUUUUUUUUAUGAUUAGUAUUUUUAUUGUUAUUAGAUAAUAAAACAUGAAUAGUACUUUAUGCGUGACUGAUUCUUUUUAAUUUUUUCAUAAAUUUUUCAAAUAAGACGGACGGUCAAAAGUUGGACACAGAUACCCACGGCUCCACUUAUU